rnacentral:lncRNA from 14 species
CCCAGAUAGUUACUGCAGUACACACCUGGGAUUUUCCUCUUUCUUUCUGCAAGUAAGAUAUCUUUGGUAUCCUGUUCUAUGAUUAGUUCUGUAACUUGGUAAGAAAUACUUUAUCAGCUGCAAGUGGAGAGUAAGAUGUGUGUUAUCCGGAAGGACCAGAAAGUUUUCCUUUGGAGGAUGAAAAUGACUGGUCAUUCCACAGUUGAGGAAGAUUUUCUCUGGCUAACACUCUCACCACCCAUCCUGAGGAAAGAGUAUAAAUAAUCGUGGAUUCCUAAGUCCUGAAUAAACUCUGGAGGAAAAAGCUUAAGAAAAAUGAG